rnacentral:rRNA from 1 species
GACGAACGCUGGCGGCGUGCCUAAUACAUGCAAGUCGAACGCUUCUUUCCUCCCGAGUGCUUGCACUCAAUUGGAAAGAGGAGUGGCGGACGGGUGAGUAACACGUGGGUAACCUACCCAUCAGAGGGGGAUAACACUUGGAAACAGGUGCUAAUACCGCAUAACAGUUUAUGCCGCAUGGCAUAAGAGUGAAAGGCGCUUUCGGGUGUCGCUGAUGGAUGGACCCGCGGUGCAUUAGCUAGUUGGUGAGGUAACGGCUCACCAAGGCGACGAUGCAUAGCCGACCUGAGAGGGUGAUCGGCCACACUGGGACUGAGACACGGCCCAGACUCCUACGGGAGGCAGCAGUAGGGAAUCUUCGGCAAAGGACGAAAGUCUGACCGAGCAACGCCGCGUGAGUGAAGAAGGUUUUCGGAUCGUAAAACUCUGUUGUUAGAGAAGAACAAGGACGUUAGUAACUGAACGUCCCCUGACGGUAUCUAACCAGAAAGCCACGGCUAACUACGUG